rnacentral:rRNA from 1 species
GAUUCAGCGGCGGACGGGUGAGUAAUGCCUAGGAAUCUGCCUGGUAGUGGGGGACAACGUUUCGAAAGGAACGCUAAUACCGCAUACGUCCUACGGGAGAAAGCAGGGGACCUUCGGGCCUUGCGCUAUCAGAUGAGCCUAGGUCGGAUUAGCUAGUUGGUGGGGUAAAGGCCUACCAAGGCGACGAUCCGUAACUGGUCUGAGAGGAUGAUCAGUCACACUGGAACUGAGACACGGUCCAGACUCCUACGGGAGGCAGCAGUGGGGAAUAUUGGACAAUGGGCGAAAGCCUGAUCCAGCCAUGCCGCGUGUGUGAAGAAGGUCUUCGGAUUGUAAAGCACUUUAAGUUGGGAGGAAGGGCAGUAAGUUAAUACCUUGCUGUUUUGACGUUACCAACAGAAUAAGCACCGGCUAACUUCGUGCCAGCAGCCGCGGUAAUACGAAGGGUGCAAGCGUUAAUCGGAAUUACUGGGCGUAAAGCGCGCGUAGGUGGUUUGGU